AAAUUAACAACAAACAUAAAUAACAUUAACUGAAAAAUAAAAUUUUGUUCGUGGGGGACAAAACACCCCAAUAGUACAACCCAUGGUCAAAAUACAAAAUUCGAAAGUACAAAUAAAAAUGACAUAAUAAAAACUGAAAUACAAAUACUCAAAAACUUAACCCACAAAGGGCUCAAGACUCCUCUUCACUACCGGCUUCAGAACCGGUAGCCUCAUCAUCAAUAUCCUCAUCAUCAGCUUCAGCUCCCUCCCCCUCACCAUAGACUGGCCUGUCCACAGGCCAAUUAGCGUUGAGCAUAAACUGCUCACGCGCUAACAAUGCUCGAGCACCGGAGGGGUCAUUACCUU
rnacentral:lncRNA from 1 species